GAUGAACGCUAGCGGCAGGCUUAACACAUGCAAGUCGAGGGGUAGAAGGAGCUUGCUCCUUUGAGACCGGCGCACGGGUGCGUAACGCGUAUGCAAUCUACCUUUUGCAGAGGAUAGCCCAGAGAAAUUUGGAUUAAUACCUCAUAGUAUGUGAGGAUGGCAUCAUUUUCACAUUAAAGUCACAACGGCAAAAGAUGAGCAUGCGUCCCAUUAGCUAGUUGGUAAGGUAACGGCUUACCAAGGCUACGAUGGGUAGGGGUCCUGAGAGGGAGAUCCCCCACACUGGUACUGAGACACGGACCAGACUCCUACGGGAGGCAGCAGUGAGGAAUAUGGACAAUGGGCGCAAGCCUGAUCCAGCCAUGCCGCGUGCAGGAUGACGGUCCUAUGGAUUGUAAACUGCUUUGUACAGGAAGAAACACUCCCUCGUGAGGGAGC
rnacentral:rRNA from 1 species